rnacentral:lncRNA from 1 species
AAAAUCUCUAGACAAAAUGGGUUGUUUCAAUUGCUUUGCUUUGGGAUUCUUCGUGGCUCUGUCGCUUGCAAGCAUUGAUGUCGGGGUUGCAGCUCGUCACCUUCAGCAACUGCCUCCAAUGCCAACAUUGCCUACAACCACACUCCCACCAUUCCCAUCUAUCCCAAUCUCCCACAGCCAUCCAUACCAUCUUUCCCAAGGCCUGGGGCGCUUCCUCCACUUCCUACCAUGCCUGCUUUGCCCACAUUGCCUAGUGUACCAAGGGCCACAUUGCCCCCUCUACCAAGCAUGCCUUCGAUUCCCACAAUCCCAACUACAAUUCCCUCUAUUCCAUUCUUCUCUCCACCACCUUCUCCUUCUAGUCCUUAAAAAUCCCUUUCGCUAGGUGAUGGGUGGCUAUUCCAAUCCAGAGUCUUAUUUUUUUGUCCACCACUUAUAUUGCUUUGUAUAAAUGGGAGUUUCCCCAAUUCCCAUGAUUUUCUGUACUUCGAUAGUUAUUUUGCUUAUUAUUGGAUUACUUAUUAUAUAUAUAUAUAUAUAAUAUUUUCAUUAACUAAUUAAUUACUGAAUCCAUUGUUAACACACAAGUUUAUGAAAGUAAGAUAAGAAUGAAACAAUAAAUAUAGACAAAAUAAAUUAAUUAUGAUGCAAGGGUGAAUUAAAUCUAAGUUAUUCUUUGAGAAAGUAAAUACUUGACUAAUAAACCACAAUUUGAGGUUAAACUAACUCAAAUUAUCUCGAGGUUAAACUAACCUAAAUUAUUCUUAGAGAAGAUAAACAACUGGUCAAUAAACUACAAUUUGAGGUUAAACUAAUUUACAUUUUUCAAUGUUAAAGAGGAUGAUUUUUUUAUUAGAUUUGAACCUUGAUGCUUACUGGAGCUUUGUCACUCGACAAUAGCUUAUUGACAAUUUUUGUAAGAGUGGGUCCAUCCAGAUCAACAGUGAAGUUGGCUUCACUAAGACUAAAAAUAAUAGUGGUAAUAAGAUUAGUUAUUAUAAUAGUGAAAUUAAAAUCAACCUUAUAGUAUAUAUUUAAAUUCAAGAAUAACACUACUAGUGAGAUCAAAUUCGAAAAUCACUAUUAAGGAUGUUAAAUUAAUAUAUAUAUAUAAAAUAAAUAAAUAAAAAAUUAAUUAAAAUUAUAUUUGAGUUAAACUAUAAUUAAACAUUAAAUUUAUAAAAAUACUUAUAUUAUAUUUAAAUUAAAUAAUAUAUGAAAAUAUAUUAUAUUAAAUCAUAAUGAAAAUCAUUACAUUAUAAAUAAAUUGCCAUAUACCAAUGCAUACUUUUAUCGAAGAUCUAAUUCCGUAAGUUUAUAUCAAUGUUUUCUUAAAUCAGAUUGAUGAUCGAACCGAUUAGACCACCAUUUCAGUCAAUCCGACCAGUUCAACCGGUCUAAUAAAAAAUGAUUAAAAAUUAAAAAUAAAAUUUUUUUAAACUCUGGUUCGAUCAAUUUUUUAACUAUAGUUCAAUUAGUUCAUACCCAUUCCCGAUCUAAUCGGUUCAAAGUCACUCUUUAGAUCGAUUUCUCGAUCAAUUCCCAAUCCAAUCAACCAGUCCAUUUCAAACAACACUCGCCUAUACCAACAUUUUACUUAUCUGGUAAUAUAUGAUGAGCCUAUAUUAGUACAUUUUGUUAAUGUUGAUGUAAAAGUAUCUAUAAUGACAAAUUAAAUUUAAUAAUUGAGUAAAUUUUUUGGAAGAAACAAGUUAACAAUUUAUUUUAUUUUUGAGAUAUGAAUUAAAAAAUUAAAUAAAAUCAAGUAUAUAUAAAAAUUAAAUUGGAUCUGAGACGAAAAAAAACUCACCAAUAUUAUUUUAUUUGUUGUUUCGAACUAAUAUUAUUUUGGUUUAAGGGAGUUUUAAGAAAAAAAAAAACUCUCUAAUAAGUGUGUUUCAAAGUUUUAACUUGUGUUUUCAACUACUACUACUUCAAUUGGGAGUUCUAACUUUCAAUUUUUUUUUUUGCUUGUAGGCAGCCCAAUAGCAAUGGUAAGUUUAACAAGAAGGUAAACAAGCCAAUUUUGACUUUGAUCCUAUUUGAUUUCACCAUAAAAGGUUAACAAUUUUAACUUCUUCAACUUAAAUUUUAAUUGGUUUGAAUUUAAAAUAAUUUUAAAAUAAUUUAACUUUAAAUAAUCUAAAUUUAAAAUGAUUAGAGCUCGAAAUAAAUAAAACAAGUAACAUAGAAUAACUCAAACUUGAAGUAAUCAUAACUCAAAACAAUCCAGACCUAUAAUGACUUAACUAAAAAAUUGAAUCUCUCACUGAAAUGACUUAAAGCAAACCAGCUUGAAAUUAACCCAAACCCGAAACAACUUGAAAAUUUUAAAAUCUUAAUUAACUUGAUUUAAAUUAAUCUGAUCCAAAACCAAAUAAAUAUGCACAACUAAAAGGUGAUCUAGAAUGUCCGACGAGUUAAAUCAUGUAAUCAUCUUUUAAAAUGUUUGACAUAGUUAAGUAAACGACCCUAUGUCGGGCUACAUAACAGGCAAUUGGCUGAAACAUUGGUAACCUGGAGGAUUAAUUUGAUCAGCUAACUUAAGACACUAUUAGUUUAAUUAAGAGGCUAACUUAAUAAUUUAAUUAAGAGGUUAACUUAUUACAUGAGGUCGCUUCCAUGCCAACCACAACAACUGCAUUUCACCAGUUUUAAACUCCAAUAUCCAUUAGAAGAUGACCUACCAAAUAUCUUUAAUAUUGACCAAGCUUUCUCCUUUCUCAACCAUGUAUGAUCAAAUAUCACCAACUCUAGUGGCCUAUUCCCACUGCUCCAAGACCCUAUAUAAACCCCUUACACCAUGCUUUCUCUUCCUCACUCAAAACUAGCUAUUAAGAUAAAAAGACUUUGUUUCAUCUGCUUAACAGAAAUGGCAUCUUUCAAUUGCUUUGCUUUGGCAUUCUUCGUGGCUUUGUCGUUUUCAAGCAUUGACGUUGGCCUAGCAGGUCGUCACCUUCAGCAACUGCCUCCGAUGCCAACAUUGCCUACAACCACACUCCCACCAUUCCCAUCUAUCCCUAAUCUCCCACAGCCAUCCAUACCAUCUUUCCCAAGGCCCGGGGCACUUCCUCCAUUUCCUACCAUGCCUGGGUUGCCCACAUUGCCAAGUGUACCAAGGGCCACACUGCCUCCUCUGCCAAGCAUACCCUCAAUCCCCACAAUCCAACCUACAAUUCCCUCUAUUCCUUUCCUUUCUCCACCACCUUCUCCUUCUACCCCUUAAAAAUCCCUUUUGGCUUAUGGGACCCAGUCUAGAGUCGGGACAUGCUACUAGUGUUCUCAUCUCAUUCAGGGUUGAAAGUGGUAGUUACAGACUCGAGUUUUUAAUCAGCAUAUAGUUACUUAUUUGUUUACUUUCUCUCUCCGAAGAUCUUACAAGAUUUGAGCCGUCUUUGUAUGUUGAUUUUUGAGAACUAUUGUUUGCUUAUUUUCACAACAUAUAGGAUUUGUUUGUAUAAAUGGGAGUUCCCAUUAUUUGGUGUAUUUUGAUACGUUAUUCUGCUUAUUUAUAAACUUCACAUUGUUAACAUACGAAUUUAGCAAAUGAAGAAAAGGAUGAUAAAAUAAAUUAAUUAUGAUACAACACCACAAACCAAUGAGAUCAGAAUUGAAAAUGAUUAUUAAAAAUAUUUAGUUGAAGUAUAUACAUAUAUAAUACAUUAAAUAACAAAAUACAAAUACAAGUUAUAUUUAUUUUAAACUAUAAUUAAAAAUUAAAUCUAUAAAAUACACUAUUAUAUUUAAGUUAAAUUAUAUAUUAAAAAUGUUAUAUUAAAUAAUAAUUAAAAUCAUUAUUACAUUAAAAUAAUGAUUAAUUUAGAUAAAUAUUAAAUUUAUACAUGAACUUCGUUUCAAUGUGCAAUUUGAUACAUGAACUUUUAUUUGGUACAAUUAUAUAGAUAAAACUUGUAUUGUCGUUAAUAUGUAUAUAUGAAACUUAGAUUUUGAUUCAAUUGUAUACAUUUAAAUAAUAUUUAUUUUCAUAUUAGAUUAAUAUAAUUAUUUACUUAUGUAAUAUCCAAUGUAAAAUGGUGCUAAUUCAAUAAUGUUGUUAGUGAUUUUAGAAAAUUAAACCAAAUCAAAAUUUCAUGUAUAAAAUCGUACAAAAUAAAUCAAAAUUUAUGUAUAGUUUUGAUAUUUAUCUCUAAAAAAUUUGUGGAAUAAAAUAAAAUUUUAAUUAAUAGACUAGGGAUUGAAAAAUUAAAAAAAAAAACUCACCAAUGAGCUUGUGUUUUAGUUGGGGUUCAAUUUUGUCUAAAGAUGUCAAUGGACCAGACCUCUAAUGACAUCCAAAGGAGCCCUUAUAAUUUGUUGUCUGUAAAAUAAUUAUAGCAUAAGACAUUAUGUAAAAUUUUCGCAUGGAACAAGUUAAGGAUUUAUUUUGGUUUUGAGAUUAAAUAAAACCACGUGUGUAUAAAAGUCAAAUUGGAGCUAAGGGCAGUGGAAAAAACCCAAGUUCUAUCAUGUUGAUGUUUGUAAAUAAUGUUUCUUUGUCGAGAUUGAGAGCAUUUUAUGUGUACUUCUUGAAGUUUUAAUCAUUUUUAUCCAUCCUAUCCAAAAUCAACUUAAUUCACUCUAUUUAUAAGUAUACAAGGGCGAAUUUAGACGCUAACUAACCCAACUCAACCCAAUCCAAUUUUUGAAGAAUGUGUUUCGGGUAAUUUUAAUAAGAAAAAAUAGGAAGAUAAUUAUUUGAAAUUUUAAAUUAUAUAUAACAUAGAAAAAAGAAUAACAUAUAGGGUGAAAUACUUAAAAAUGCCAAAUUAAAAAAAAAUUAUUGGAUUAGGUCAGUUUUUGAAAAAAUUACGGAACUAAGCCGAAAUGAUGAAAACUCUUCCAGCUGAAAGCGCUUUACACAACGGUUACCCCCAACAGCUUCCCCACCCCAACAGCUAUUUAAAUAGCAGUUGAACCCCCCUGAACUAAUGACUAUUUUUUUUCCUAUAUAUAAACCCCUAAUUCUUUUAUUUUUUCAAUUCAAUCUCAACUCAUCUCUCUCGAAUUCUCAAACCUCUCUCAAAUUUCCCUCAAUUCCCUCUUAAUUUCUCACUCAUUUUUUAUUCUUCUCUCAACUCUUCUUUUUAUUAAAAUUGUAUUAAUGUUUUUUAAAUUAUUUUUCUAUUACAAAUUAUUUCAUAUUUUUCAAAAUUAGUAACGGAAAAAUCUCUAAUUCGUUUAGAUGACAAACACAUUUCGGUCGAUCAAUUGCAAAUGGUAAAUUUUUUUUAUUAUAUUAGUCUAAUUUAAUUUAAAUAUUUUCUUGUUAUACUGAAAUUUAAUAUUUUUUUAUUUUUUUAUAUAUAGUCGGAAGAUCGAAUUUUGGAGACGUAUAUUUGUAAUCUACCCGCUCCUCCAUACUUGAGAAAUACAAGAUUUUUGCACGUGGCUCGUAUGGGUAGGGGGUUUAAAUUGGACCCCACACUUGUAAGCGAGUUGGUGGAAAGGUGGAGACCCGAGACGCAUACAUUCCAUCUUCCAUGCGGCGAGUGCACUAUCACACUUGAGGAUGUGCAGUUACAACUCGAGUUAUCGAUGGAUGGGCCGGUAGUAACUGGGUCAGUUGUCAUAGCCGAUUGGAGAGAUGUAUGCGAGCAACUCUUGGAGAGGGUUCCGGACAUGAUUUAUGGAGCCUAGAUAGAUGUGAAUUGGUUGAAAAGAAAUUUUUUGUGGGCUCGAUGUGGAAUCGAGUGAAGUCCAAAGAGAACAACACGCUCGGGCUCCAUAAAUCAUCGGGGGUCUCCUAAUGCCCAAUAAAUCACGAAAUAUUUUCCAUUUAAGGUGGUUACUCAAACUCGUGGACUUUAGAGAAGUGGGCGAACUCAGUUGGGGAUAGCUAUGUUGGCGACCUUGUACUAAGAGAUGUGUCUGGCGACGGAACCAUAAAAAAGUAAAAUCAGUGGUUGCAUGCUACUAUUGCAAUCAUGGGUGUGGUAUCGGUUGCCAUUUUUACGUCCUCGAGCGGACUACCCUUAUACAUGCCCACUCGUAACAAGGUAAACUUCAUUAGAUAAUAUAUUUAUUGUCGAAAUCGUUUUUUGAAAACAAAAAAAUUUAGUUGUCGACUUUUUUAAAAAUAAAACUGGAGUCGCCACCGAUCCUUUAUUAAGGUGUGACCGGCCCACCUCAAAAAUUAUUUUGGUCUGCGAAUUGAAAACAGGUCCGGGAGUCAGUUACACACGAGGAAGGGUUAGCACCCUCGUAACGCCCAAAAAUCGGUACCAAAUUGACUAUUUAAUGUCUUUGUGUCGAAAGUUAAAAAAGAUUUUAAAAUAAGGUUGAAUGGUGAAAUUGGCAAAAGGAUAAUCAAUUGUUCAAGUCAUGUAAAGAAAUCGAGUCCCAAUACGUUAGGGUACAAUUCCUCAUAAUCCCUAAACUUGAAUAUCACUUUUAUUUUAUACGAAAAUCUUCAUUUCGAGAAAGUAACAUGCCACACCCAAUACGUUAGGGCACAACAAGUUAAGUUCCCAAAAAUAAUUUUUAUGCAUUUUGAAUAAAAAUAUUCUCGGUCAUUUAGGAUUGACAAAGAAAAUCAGAACCCAAUACGUUAGGGUUCAAUUCCCCUCAAAAAUCCCAAACUUCCAAAAAUGCUUUCAUUCAAAAACCUUUAAAUCAAAAGAAUAACUUUGAUGAAUGGUUAAAACCAAAAUAUAUUUCCAAAAGGGUAUGUUAAAGUUGAUGUAUAAUAUGAAGCAAAAACUUUAAUUUAGAACGUAUAUGAAUACAUAUUUACAAAAUAUAUAUGAGUACAAUAUACAAGUAUGUUCGAAAAUAUGUACGAGCAUGCAUUUAACACGUAAAUACAAGUGUACAUAUAACAUGGAAAGUAAAGAAGUAUAUACAACAAGCUUACAAUAAUUUCUAAGAAUAUGCAUGCAAAACAUAUGUAUGUAUACGUGAAAAUUGUGAAGAUAAAAAAAAUCAAAAUAUGCAUAUGCAUUAUAAAAUAUAAGUGUAUACACAUAUAUACAUAUAUUUAUUUAUAAAAACUAUGAAAACAAAAUAUUUAUGAAAUAUGAGCGUAUAAGGAUUAAAAUAUGUAUGUAUGCAUAUAUAUAUAUGAAUGUAAAAUUAUUGGAAUAAAAUAAAAUAUAAAACGUGCGGACGUGUUUAUGUUUUAAAAAAAAUGUAUAAAUACGUAUAUAUAAAAUAUAAGGUAUAUAAAAAUAUAAAGGAUAAAAAGAUAAAAUAAAGGAAAUAAAAUGUAUGUAAAACGUACAAAAACAUAUGCAUGCAUUUUUAAAGCUUAAGAAUAUAUAUGCUAGUAAUGAAAAUAUGAAAAGAAAAUAAUAAAAGUUAUGCGUUUGUAAAAAAAAACUGAAAUAUAAAACAAUAUGUAUAUACACGUACAUAAAAAUCAUAAAUGGUAUUAGUAUAAUAAUUAGUAAUAAUAGUAAUAGCAAACGAGUAACAGUAUAUUAAAAAAAUAAAAAAACCCAAAUAAAGUAAAAAAAAAACCAAAUUGUACAAAAGACAAAAAAAUGGGGGUAAAUUCAAAAAUAAUAAAAAAGGGAUCAAUUCGAACACGCGAGCGACAAUGGGGGACUAAAAAAGAAAUAAUUCAUUCCCUUCCAAAACGCUGCGCAAUGAGGUAUCAAAUUGAAAUAAAAAUGGAAUACGCGGCCCAAAUUUGAAAACCAGUGGAAAAGGGUUCAAUUGACAUGCGUUGCAAAAGGGAGGGGUUAAAUUCGCAAAUUCCCCAUCUGACGUCAGAACGCGCGGAUCCUCCCCUUCGGGUCGGGUCACCGCGCGGGUCAGAGCCUUAAAAAUGACGUCGUUUUUGUAGCGUUAUUUAAAACAAAAUUUCCUUUCAAAAUCAUUUACAACCGAAAAUAAAAAAAAACAAACAAACACCCCUCUUUUGCUCUGCUAGGGUUUCACCCCUAGCGUCCUCGCGCCGCCGCCGCAACGCGCCUCCGCUGCGAUUUCACCGAGAAUGGUGAUCGAAAAGGCGAUACGACGGGCUUUUAACUGCCCUUGAGCAGAUUCAAAGUGAAGGUAAACCCCCUUUCUCUUUUUUCUAAUUUUAGUUAUACAAAAACAAUAAAACGUAAAAUGCAAAGGAAAAAAAAACAGUGGUGGGAGUCACCUUUUUAAAAAAACUUGUAUUCUAAGUUUUCUUUUGCCUUUUUUCUCCUCUUUUUUACAGAUUUAAAAGGGCCUUUUAUAGGCCAAAAAAGAAAAUAAAUCGAAGGAAAACAAUAUUGCUCGUUGUUUUUUCUCAUUGGACUCCUUGAGUCCGUUUUUCAGGUGCUCAUGGAGAGUUUGGCGCGUGUGGAGGCCGAAACGUGCGGCGAUCGGGCAUUGGACGCGGCGUGGAUGCUGUUGCGGCGCUGAGGCAGAUGCGGCUAGGGUUUUGUAUUUUUUGUGUUUUGCUGUGUUGAUCUUUGGGUUUGGGCUGCUUUGUUGGGCUUGUAAAAUGUAGGCCUAUUCAUUUUUUUGUUUUGGCUUAUUACGUGGGCCCAGGCCGAUUGGGCCUUAUUACAGCUGCCCUCUUUGUUCAUUGUCGUGUAACGGGAAUAGAGCAAAGACUACAAGACCCAAUUGUGCCUGAUCUUGCGGAGCCUCAACUUCUUCAAUGCUUCUCUUCUUUAGGCAGCCUUGUUCCUUCCUACUGCAUCCUUAGAGGUAUAGAAACCAGUGCUUCAAUCCACUCCACUACAAUGUCAGGGAGAUAGGAUUCAUACUUUGUAGCUUCUCAAAAGAACAAAAUUUGCCAUCUUUGAUCUACUCCUCUACAACUUCAGGGAGAUAAGUCUUAUAGCUUCAACUUGUUCUACUAUAAUUUAAGGAUAAAUCUUGAUGCGAUCUGCUCUACUGCAACUCCAGAGAGAUGAUCUGCAGUUUUGAUCCACACCAUUGCAACUUCAAGGAGAUAGGAUUGGUUACUUCUGUCUGCUCCACUGCAACUUCAGAGAGAUGAGAUCUGCGGUUUUAAUCCACUCCAUUGCAACUUCAAGGAGAUAGGAUUGAUUAGUUUUGUCUGCUCCACUGCAACUUCAGGGAGAUAAGACUUGUAUCUUCAAUCUACUUCACCACCAGUAUGGGAAGACAAGAUCUGCUUUUUUUUAUAUUCUUCACACCAAUACAUGAAGACAAAAUCUGCUUUCUUCGAUCGAUUCACUGUCGACCAGGGAAAUAUAAUUGCUGGCUUCAAUAUACUCCACUGUAACCUCAGGGAGGUAAAACCUGCCAUCUUUGAUCUCCUCCACUACUGUCUAGGGAGAUAAGAUCUGUAAUCUUCAAUUUGUUCAACUGCAAUGUUGGGGAAACUAGAUCCGCCGUCGUAGCUUCAAUCUGUUCCACCGCACCGCCAGGGAAGUAAGAUCCACCGUUGUGGCUUCAAUCUUUUUUAAUUGCAAUAUUAGGGAAACCAGAUCCGCCGUCGUAGCUUCAAUCUGUUCCAUUGCACUGCUAAGGAAGUAAGAUCUGCCGUUGUGGCUUCAAUCUUUUUAAUUGCAAUAUCAGGGAAACCAGAUCCGCCGUCGUAGCUUCAAUCUAUUCCAUUGCACUGCUAAGGAAGUAAGAUCUGCCGUUGUGGCUUCAAUCUUUUUAAUUGCAAUAUCAGGGAAACCAGAUCCGCCGUCGUAGCUUCAAUCUAUUCCGCUGUACUGCUAAGGAAGUAAGAUCCGUCGCUGUGGCUUCAAUCUUUUUAAUUGCAAUAUCAGGGAAACCAGAUCUGCCGUCGUAGCUUCAAUCUAUUCUGCUGUACUGCUAAUGAAGUAAGAUUCAUCGUUGUGGCUUCAAUAUCUUUAAUUGCAAUAUCAGGGAAACCAGAUCCGCUGUCGUAGCUUCAAUCUAUUCCGCUGUAAUACUAAGGAAGUAAGAUCCGCCGUUGUGGCUUCAAUAUUUUUAAUUGCAAUAUCAGGGAAACCAGAUCUGCAGUCGUAGCUUCAAUCUAUUCCGCUGUACUGCUAAGGAAGUAAGAUCCACCGUUGUGACUUCAAUCUCUUUAAUUGCAAUAUCAGGGAAACCAGACCCGAUGUCGUAGCUUCAAUCUAUUCUGCUGUACUGUUAAGGAAGUAAGAUCCGCCGUUGUGGCUUCAAUCUUUUUAAUUGCAACCCGCUCCAUUGUUACCCAAGGAGACAAGGCUUUAUGAUUUCACCGAUCUGCUCUCUGUGGAACAUAACCUAUAUGACUCACUUUAUGAGCCUAAUUAUGCCUAAUGAUUAGGAUGUCAUGAUCAAAUGAAUCAAAUGCUCCUAACUAGGCGUGUAUGAAUGACAUUUGAAUGUUAUGUAAAAAAUGCAUAUUGAAUGUUUAAAGUCACUAUUGCUCAUUAAGGCUUCCUUUGUGACAACAACGCUUCGUCAAAUCUUGAAAAUUUUAAUCUUGACUCUUGACCCCUAGAUAUCUCCGACCUUUUAACCCGGUGAAGGUCUAAACAAUAGUCCUGUUUCAAGUUUCUGAGCUAUUUUAAGAUUUCUAGAGUAAUAUGAAAAACUUCUCUUGUGAAAGUUUUACUAGUCCAUUAAUUGUCAUUCUAAUGCAACAUGCUUGUGAAAAGAUCAUAAUAAUGGAUAAAACAAAAUUAGUUUGGGAGGAUAGCUCGCAAUGGAUUGUCAAUGAUAGAGGAAUUGUCUGGGGACAUUUAUAUUGAAAAAGAAUGACAUAUUUUAACAACAAAUUCAAUACAAAUACUAUGAAUAGGUGCCCCAGAUAUCUCUGCUUGAAUUUCUCUAUACAGCUUUUCGAGGACCCUUCUGAAUUCAACACAUGUUUAGGAGAUUCACAGUAUUUGUUGAUGCCCCAAGAUGUCGUUUAUUCCUUUUUGCCGAAUUAGGUACAACAAGACUACCACGUGACAAUCAAAAUUUAAGCCGCCCUUUUCAGAUUUUCAACUCAAAACCCCUUUGGUCUUAAGGUGCCCUUUGUGGGUUUUCACCUUAGCCUCUCCUUUUUUUUUUGAAAUCAAAGCGCCCUUUGCGGGUUUUCACCUUGGUUCCUUCCCUUCUUCAAGUAAAGUAUCUCUUGACCGAAUCUGAAUUUAUUGGAUUAGGCAAGUUUCUUCUGUCCAUUUCAGCCAGGAUCGGGGCUCCUCCAGAAAAGGCCUUUUUUACAACAUAAGGACCCUCCCAAUUCGGCAUCCAUUUCCCCCUAAAAUCCUUUUGUAGAGGAAGAAUUUUUCUCAAGACCAGGUCCCCCUCGUGAAAUUCUCUGGGUCGGACUUUCUUGUUGUAGGCUCGCAUAAUUCUUUUCUAGUACAUCUGACCAUGCUGAAUAGCCUUUAGCCUCUUUCCCUCUAUCAUAAAACAAUAUGUAUAUACACGUACAUGAAAAUCAUAAAUGGUAUUAGUAUAAUAAUAAGUAAUAAUAGUAAUAGCAAACGAGUAACAGUAUAUUAAAAAAAUAAAAAAACCCAAAUAAAGUAAAAAAAACCAAAUUGUACAAAAGACAAAAAAUGGGGGUAAAUUCAAAAAUAAUAAAAAAGGGAUCAAUUCGAACACGCGAGCGACAAUGGGGGACUAAAAAGGAAAUAAUUCCUUCCCUUCCAAAACGCUGCGCAAUGAGAUAUCAAAUUGAAAUAAAAAUGGAAUACGCGGCCCAAAUUUGAAAACCAGUGGAAAAGGGUUCAAUUGACAUGCGUUGCAAAAGGGAGGGGUUAAAUUCGCAAAUUCCCCAUCUGAUGUCAGAACGCGCGGAUCCUCCCCUUCGGGUCGGGUCACCGCGCGGGUCAGGGCCUUAAAAACGACGUCGUUUUUGUAGCGUUAUUUAAAACAAAAUUUCCUUUCAAAAUCAUUUACAACCGAAAAUAAAAAAAAACAAACAAACACCCCUCUUUUGCUCUGCUAGGGUUUCACCCCUAGUGUCCUCGUGCCGCCGCCGCAACGCGCCUCCGCCGCGAUUUCAACGAGAAUGGUGAUCAGAAAGGCGAUACGACGGGCUUUUAACUGCCCUUAAGCAGAUUCAAAGUGAAGGUAAACCCCCUUUCUCUUUUUUCUAAUUUUAGUUAUACAAAAAUAAUAAAACAUAAAAUGCAAAGGAAAAAAAACAGUGGUGGGAUUCACCUUUUUAAAAAAACUUGUAUUCUGAGUUUUCUUUUGCCUUUUUUUCUCCUCUUUUUUUACAGAUUUAAAAGGGCCUUUUAUAGGCCGAAAAAAGAAAAUAAAUCGAAGGAAAACAAUAUUGCUCGUUGUUUUUUCUCAUUGGACUCCUUGAGUCCGUUUUUCAGGUGCUCGUGGAGAGUUUGGCGCGCGUGGAGGCCGAAACGUGCGGCGAUCGGGCGUUGGGCACUGCGUGGAUGCUGUUGCGGCGCUGAGGCAGAUGCGGCUAGGGUUUUGUUUUUUUUGUGUUUUGCUGUGUUGAUCUUUGGGUUUGGGCUGCUUUGUUGGGCUUGUAAAAUGUAGGCCUGUUCAUUUUUUUGUUUUGGCUUAUUACGUGGGCCCAGGCCGAUUGGGCCUUAUUACAUUUAUCAUAAUAAAAUUAUUUAAAAUUUAAAUUAUUGUGUUAACAUAUUAUUUUAAUAGGUGAAACUAUGGGCCAAGUUAUGUGGGACUACCAGAGGAGCUUUAAGAUAUACGACUUUUGUUAGAUCAACGAUAGGAAGUGGAGGUAUAUAUUUUUUAAAUUUGAAUUAUAUAAUAUUAAUAUAGUUGAUUUACAAAUUAAUAGUAUAUAUAAUUAAAAUUUUUAUUAUUUUAAUAUAGUUUGAAUGCAUUCCGUUUGAAUUCUUAGUGAAUCCUAACAUCUGGCAUGUGAAGGUGUCAUUGGUAGUGUAUGCUAUGAUGAAGAUGCAUGAAUCAGAUAAAGUUAUGCAACAGUUUGGGUUUAGGUAAAUGAUUCUGUUGACACCUCAAGACAUCGAAUAUCUGCAUUAUAUCGACUUGUGGGGGAGAAUAGAUGAAAAUUGGCCUACAUUCCACGCUUAAUAUACUAACCUUUGGAACAAUAGAUACGACUUUUUACCUACUCGCGAGGCCAUUAUCGCUCUGAAGUUAGCCUGCGAUCCGGAGUACAUGCCAUUGUUUAGACAUCAUGGCAAGCCAUAUCUACUAGUAGAAGAGGUGAGGGGUAAACAACGUUAUACGAGGAGGCCACGACGGGAGCUUAGGCAUCCAAGGUCUGGAGCAGCUUUCGAGGAGAGUCCAUCAUCUACACAACACAAGAACCGACACCGAUGGUCGCACCACCCCCGAUCAAUAUAGUUUGACUUAUUCUGGUGCUUUACUAACCCCGUCAUUUUUACACAAGCACCACAUCUUGCACCAUAUUUGUCUAUUUCUAUAUCGAUGCUAGGUUUUAUUUUUGGACCACCACUUCCAUCUCUAGCAUAUUACACACCGAUGCAAUCGAUGUUUCAAAUGACGACGAUUUCGACGAUGGCAUAUAGGCCAUCUAUGUUUGGGGCACCAACCGAAAGUCUGAUUGUUCUAUCAUCGGUGUGUGGGACACAAUAUAGUUAUAUGCAUACGCCGAUGGUGUCACAAACACCCAUCUUCGUAACCACCUGUUCCUAGAGUGGAGGAUAUACGAUGGCAAUUGAGGAGCACUCCACAAUCAACCACGAAUGAAGGCAGAGAAGAUGAGAGGCUGAGAUACAACCUAUACACAAGUGUAGACGUAACGAUGAAGACGAAAAGGCCGGUAUACAGCUUGAAUUGUAACAUUCCAAAAACUAACUUAGAAUAAAUCGCGUUUUGAAACCAAAAGAGGUCAUCCCUCGAUUUGAGUUUAGGCUUUAGAAAUUUUUAACAAGUAAAUUGAUUUGGUUCAGUGGUUAAGUGUUCUGGAUAUGUGUGUGAGGUUCUGGGUUCAAAUUUUGUUUUUGGCAAUUUUGUCAUUUUGCUUAAACCCUUACUUUUGAAUGUUAGUUUAUGUUUAUAAGUUAAACUCAGUCAAUUGAUAUUAAGAAUAAGCUUUCUGGUUCAAUGGUUAAGUGUCUGUAUACCCUUUAGUCUUGUGUUCAAGUUUCAGUAAAAGCUACAAAGAUAUUUUUUACUGAACUACCUUGUGGGGUCGUUUAUUUUAGUUGAUUAAACUUUCCCAAAACAAAAACUUCCUUUUCUUUUCAUAUUGUUUCAUUUUUUUUUCUAACGUGACCCUUUUGCUUCCUUCUUCAUUGAUUCGGUUUCACCAUUUUAAGUUCCUUUCUUUUUGUGUUAUGUUACGUUACACUGAUUCUAUACGAGGUCUGACUUCUCCUUUCUAGUUUGAUUCAUUGGCCAGUAAGUUCGAUUUAAAGGUUUGGUGUCGAAGGUUCUUCGACGUAACUUCAAUUUUAGAAUGUUAGUUUUUUAGCGAUUUGACUACAAGUUAAAUCUGAUGUGUUGGAUGUGCUUUCAGUGCAUUUUUCUAACAAUGCAAUGAAAAUGUGUCCUAUGUAGAGUGUUUUCCCUUUACCACUUUCAACUCCUCCAAUUUCCCACUCACCCAUCAGAUGCCCCGGGAUUCCCCGGAUAGUAUUUUCUAAAUAAAUCUGAUUGAGCUCAACCUAAGAGUUAGCCAAACCUCAGUUGUAUUCGAAAAAAAUUACAAACUAAGAGUUAACCAAAUCGAGUAGUUCGAGUUUCAAUUUUGAAUCGAAUUAAAUUUUACAAUUCGAAUAAUUUGAAUAUACAAUUGUUGUAAAUAUAAAAUUAAAUAAUUAUUAACUUUACAACUCAAAAAAGUAUAAAAAGUAUAAAGAAUAUAGAAAAAACUUAAAAAAUAUAAAAAACCUUAAACCUUAAACCUUAAACCAUAAACCCCUAAACUAUAAAACACUAAGACCUACAAAAUGCUAACACUAACCCUACUUUAACAAAAACCAAAACCCUUGUCCUAAAAAAACCCUAAACCCAAAAAGAAAACACCUUCAGUUGGAAGCAUUUUCAAUGGAUGUGACAGAAAGCGUGUCUAGUUGAAAGUAUUUUUUUUUGCAAAUUCGCUGAAAAUAUUUUCAGUAGGAAGCAUUUUCAUGUUUUUAAUCUAAUCACAUAAUUUUUCCAAAAAUCAGCUUAAUCUAGUAAUUUUUUUAAAAAUCGGCAUUUUUGAGAAAUUUACUCUAGCAUAUAUGUAUAUAAUUGAUUAGGGGACAUAGUAGGAAAGGUCUAUAAGGAAGUGUGUAGAUUACAUAGUUUCUUUAUAUAAUCAGCUUCGAAAGUACUAUUGUUGUGCAUAACAUGUUAGGGAAACUUUGUUAACAUGGAGGUUUAUCGAAGUAUACUACUUCACAUAUUAUUAAUCUAUAAUAUAUAUAAAAGUAUGAGUUUGAAAUUUAUUUUUAAUUGUCGAGAAUAUUUUUUAUUUUCUAUCAUAUUAUUAAAUUCACAAUUAAAAAUAAUUAUAAUAUUUAAACUAAUAUUAUUACUUACAAAAGUUGAAAUAAAAUAAAAGUGAUACAUUUAAAAAUAAUUAUAAUUUAAUAAAAGUUGUGAUAAUUACACAUUUAAAUAUAAUUAGUCGUGCUAAUCAUAAAAUAUAGAGAAAAAUGUGAUAAUUAUAAUUAUAAUUUACGAUUAUUUAUUAAAAUAAAAUAAAAUAAUUAUUUAAAUAGAAUUUUAAACAUAUUAAUUAUCACUUCACUGUUUGAUGAAUAUUUCGUAAUGGAUACGUUCUUUCCAUAAGGUUUUUAAUUGUUGGGUUAGAAUGAGUUUAUGUGAUAAUGUGGUGAAUGUAGUUUUGGGAGUUGGAUAACAAAAUCAUUCUACCAGCCUCUAACUUUACUGCCUUUAACCACUUUUUCUCAAGAUUCAUAUCAGCGGAGGAAAGAACUGGUGUUACUUUUGAGGAUUUUGCUGGCCAAGAAUAUUUUAAGAGAGAAUUACAAGAGAUUGUACGAAUUUUAAAAAAUGAUGAGGAGUUCCAAAAUCAACAUUUUUUAUAGUUGGGACCCAAAUAUAUAUCCCAUAUAAGUAAUAACGUAUCAAAGUACAACAAAUUUCAAGCACAAGAAAUAAUGGGAUUUGGGAAACUCCCAUUUAUACAAACAAAUAUAUGUGGUGAAAAAAAAGAACAUACAAUACUCAAAAUCAAGAGACGACUGAAAUCACAUUAAAACAAAUCCAGUAUGCAGCAGAUAAACAAAAGGGUAUUUCAAGGAGUAGAAGGAGAAGGUGGUGGAGAAAGGAAAGGAAUAGAGGGGAUUGCAGUUGGGAUUGUGGGCAUGCUUGGCAGAGGAGGCAGUGUGGCCCUUGGUACACUUGGCAAUGUGGGCAACCCAGGCAUGGUAGGAAGUGGAGGAAGCGCCCCAGGCCUUGGCAAUGCCGGUAUGGAUGGCUGUGGGAGAUUAGGGAUAGAUGGCAGUGGGGGGAGUGUGGUUGUAGGCAAAGUUGGCAUUGGAGGCAAUUGAGGCAGCUGCAGAAGGUGACGAGCAGCUAUCCCAACAUCAAUGCUUGCAAAUGACAAAGCCAUCACGAAUGCUAAAGCAAAGCAAUUGAAAGAUGCCAUUUUUCUAGAGAUGUGAGUCCAAUUAAGCAGACGAAAGAAAGCUCUUGUUUUGAUAGUUGUGGAGUGAGGGAGAGAAAGCAUGGUGGUGGGGUUUAUAUAGGUCUUGGAUCAGUGGAGCUGGUAAUGUUUGAUCAUGUAUGGUUGGAAUGGAGAAAACAUAGUCAAUAUUAAAGGAUUUGGUAGGUCAACUUCCCAUGGGUAUUGGAGUUUAAAACAGGUGGAAUGCUGUUGUGGUUGGCAUAGAAGCUUCAUCCAGCUGCUUAAUUAAACAGUAUACUUAAACAAUCCUCCAGGUUAGCAAAGUUUUCGCUAGUUGGCCAGAUAUCUAACAGAAUUAGGAUUUGUUUACUUAACAUGUCAGGUAUGAUACUCGUAUUUCGAAGUUGAUUAUAUAAAUAAAUUUGCCAUGGUUGAGCUUAAAAUUGUAAAUAAAUUGCCAUAUAUCAAUUGAUACUUUUAUCGAGGAUCUAAUUUCAUAAGUAUAAAUAGGUUUAUAUCAAUGUUUUCUUAAAUCAGAUCGAUGAUCGAAUUGAUUAGACCACCAUUUCGGUCAAUCCGAUCGGUUCAACCGGUCUGAUUAAAAAAUAAUUAAAAAUUAAAAAUAAUUUUUUUAAACUCCGAUUCGACUAGUUUUUUAGCCAGUUUAAUCAGUUCGUAGCGAUUCUCGAUCUAAUUAGUUCAAAGUCACUCUCCAUAUCGAUCUCCCGAUCAAUUCCCAAUCUAAUCGACUAGUCCAGUUCAAACAACACUGAUAAAUACCAACAUUUUACUUAUCUGUUAAUAUAUGGAUAAGCCUAUAUCAAUACAUUUUGUUAGUGUUGGUAUAAAAGUAUCUAUAAUGAGAAAUCAAAUUUAAUAAUUAAGUAAAAUUUUUGGAAGAAACAAGUUAAUUUAUUUUACUUUUGAGAUAUGAAUUAAAAAGUUAAAUAAAAUCAAGUAUAUAAAAAUCAAAUUGGAUCUUAGACCAAUAAAAACUCACCAAUAUUAUCUUAUUUGUUGUUUCUAACUAAUAUUAUUUUGGGAGUUCUAACUUUCAAUUUUUUCUUUUUGCUUGUAGGCAGCCCAAUGCCAAUGGUAAGUUUAACAAGAAAGGUAAACAUGCCAAUUUUGAUUUUGAUCCAAUCUGAUUUCACCAUAAAAGCUUAAUAAUUUUAAUUUCUUCAACUUAAACUUAAAAUUGAUUUGAAUUCAAAACAAUUUAAAUUUAAAAUGAUUUAAUUCUAAAUAACCAAAAUUUAAAAUGAUUAGAGCUCGAAAUAAAUAGACCAAGUAACUUAGAAUAACUUAAACUUGAAGUAACCAUAACUCAAAACAAUCUAGAGCUAUAAUGACUUAACUCAAAAACUAAGCCUCUUACUGAAAUGACUUAAAGCAAACCAAACUUGAAAUUGAUAAACCCGAAAUAACUUGAAAUUUUAAAAUCUUAAUUAACUUGAUUUAAAUUAACCUGAUCCAAAACCAAAUAAAUAUGCACAACUAAAAAGUCAUCUAGAUUAAUGUCCAACAAGUUAAUUCAUGUUUAAAAUAUUUGACAUAUUUAAGUAAACAACCCUAUGUCGGGCUACAUAACAGGCAAUUGGCUGAAACAUUGGUAACCUGGAGGAUUAAUUUGAUCAGCUAACUUAAGACGCUAUUAAUUUAAUUAAGAGGCUAACUUAUUACAUGAGGUAGCUUCCACGCCAACCACAACAACUGCAUUUCACCAGUUUUAAACUCCAAUAUCCAUUAGAAGAUGACCUACCAAAUAUCUUUAAUAUUGACCAAGCUUUCUCCUUUUUCAACCAUGUAUGAUCAAAUAUCACCAACUCCAGUGGCCUAUUCCCACUGCUCCAAUACCCUAUAUAAACCUCUUACCCCAUGCUUUCUCUUCCUCACUCAAAAGUAGCUAUUAUGAUAACAAGACUUUGUUUCAUCUGCUUAACAGAAAUGGCAUCUUUCAAUUGCUUUGCUUUGGCAUUCUUCGUGGCUUUGUCGUUUUCAAGCAUUGACGUUGGCCUAGCAGGUCGUCACCUUCAGCAACUACCUCCGAUGCCAACAUUGCCUACAACCACACUCCCACCUUUCCCAUCUAUCCCUAAUCUCCCACAGCCAUCCAUACCAUCUUUCCCAAGGCCUGGGGCGCUUCCUCCACUUCCUACCAUGCCUGCUUUGCCCACAUUGCCUAGUGUACCAAGGGCCACAUUGCCCCCUCUACCAA